rnacentral:lncRNA from 1 species
ACCUCAGAGAGCAGCGCAAAAGGACAGUCAGUAGAAAGGAGCUCAACUCCAACCACGACGGCGGACGAGACCCCAGAAAAAGAACAAGCAGCAAUUGAUCGUAUCGAUGAGGUACAGAAUGAAACAGACAGACUUACUGAGCAAGCCAGUGAGGAGAUGUUGAAAGUAGAACAGAAAUAUAACUCCGCCGAUCAUUUUUUUCAGGAGAGGUCAGAAUUGAUCGCCAAAAUCCCCAAUUUGGGGGUAACAACAUUUGUCAACCAUCCACAGGUGUCCACGCCGCUUGGGGAGGAAGACGAAGCGGCGUUGCAUGAUUUGAUCAGAGUUGAAGUGACAGAAUUUGAAGAGAUCAAAUCAGGUUACAGAAUAGAUUUUUAUUUUGAUGAAAAUCCUUACUUUGAAUAUAAAGUUCUCUCCAAAGAAUUUCAUCUGAAUGAGAGUGGCGAUCCAUCUUCAAACUCCACUGAAAUCAAAUGGAAAUCUGGAAAGGAUUUGAUGUUCAAGUCCAACGCAGAAUAAAGUCAGCAGGAAGAGGCAGCAGGAACUGACAGCUUCUCUACCUGGUUUACUGACCAUCCUGACGCAGGUGCAGGUGAGGUAGAAGAGGACAUCAAAUCAUCAAAGAUGAUAUUUGGUCUAAUCCAUUGCAGUACUACUCGGUGGUUCCUGACAUGGAUAAUGAAGAAGGACUGGAAGAUAUUGAUGAAGAAGGCAAUAAGGAUGAAGGUGAAGAAGAUGAUGAUAAAUGGAAAGAUAACUAACUGAACACGGAUGGAUUCCAACCUUUUUUGUUUUCAUGUUUUUUUUUUUUUUUU